rnacentral:sRNA from 1 species
AGAUUAAAAUUUCAGUAUGGAACAUCAUGAAUUAUUGUGAUCUCCGUCAGGAUUUUAGGCUGGUUAUAAUGGCUAUGUGCAUUUUGUAUGUAUGGAAAAAGGAAAUUUCUCAUUGAAACUGACUUGUCAAAUAUUUCUCUCAAAAAUUGCAGCAUUAGUGCCAGCAGUAGUUCCCAAGGGCUGUCUCAGCCAUCCACCCAGACGACUCAGUAUCUGAGAGCUGACACGCCCAACAAUGCAACUCCUAUCACCAGUUAUCCUACCUUGCGGAUAGAGAAGAACGACUUGAGAAGUGUCACUCUUUUGGAGGCCAAAGCCAAAGUGAAGGAUAUAGCAAUAUCCAGAGAGAGGAUAACUCUAAAAGAUGUACUCCAAGAAGGUACUUUUGGGCGUAUUUUCCAUGGGAUUUUAAUAGAUGAAAAAGAUCCAAAUAAAGAAAAACAAGCAUUUGUCAAAACAGUUAAAGAUCAAGCUUCUGAAAUUCAGGUGACAAUGAUGCUCACUGAAAGUUGUAAGCUGCGAGGUCUUCAUCACAG